rnacentral:tRNA from 1 species
GCCCGAAUAGCUCAGCCGGUUAGAGCACUUGACUGUUAAUCAGGGGGUCGUUGGUUCGAGUCCAGCUUCGGGCGCCA